rnacentral:rRNA from 1 species
UACGUAGGGCGCAAGCGUUGUCCGGAAUUAUUGGGCGUAAAGAGCUCGUAGGCGGCUUGUCACGUCGGUUGUGAAAGCUCGGGGCUUAACCCCGAGUCUGCAGUCGAUACGGGCUAGCUAGAGUGUGGUAGGGGAGAUCGGAAUUCCUGGUGUAGCGGUGAAAUGCGCAGAUAUCAGGAGGAACACCGGUGGCGAAGGCGGAUCUCUGGGCCAUUACUGACGCUGAGGAGCGAAAGCGUGGGGAGCGAACAGG